rnacentral:lncRNA from 1 species
UUCAGCUGUUUGGCGAAUCAGAAACAUUAUCCUGGAAAUAUGUGCAAAAAGAAUGUUUUUGCUGUGAUUGGGAUUGUGGGCCAGAGUUGAAACUUCAUAUAUCUAUGUCAGAGAGAUCGAACAAUGAGAGGCUUUAAAUAGUUUGAUUCAGUUGCAAAAUUGUCUAAUGCUCAUCAUAUUAUCCUCUAAAAAAAAUUUAAGCUGGUCUCAUGCUGCUUAGUUCUCUCAGUGUGGACUCGUAGUUCAUCUUCUGUGAUGAUUGCCAUACUGUCUGCUUAUCUGUUUAAUCCUUUUCCUUUGAAACUCCAUCAUUCUCUUGGUUAUUGUACCAACGACCGGUUACUAAUUUAGUAACAGAGUAACUAAUGUUUUAGAACUAGAGAUGGAGCUAUUCCUGGUGAUAAAGGGGCCUCCAAUCACCUUGUGGUUACGCUUCAAUCCUAUCUCUCAGUUGCCUGUUUUCUUUGCUAGCUUGUUCAGUAUGGAUGGAGACUUUGCACCAAUAGUUGAGCUUGUGAAGCUACGCAGGAAGCAUGGUUUUUUGUUGGCAAUUGACGAUGUAAGUGUCUUGUAAGUUGAUAUGCAAUUCAAAAUUUAAAAGUUGAUUGCAUGAUAUGUAAUUAGUAAGGUUGUGAUGGCCAUAUGUGAACACGUCAAAGUUUCCCCUAAGUCUCUUGACUUAUCAUUUUAGUGAUGAAGUCCAUAUGGAGUAUUUACCGGAUGAAAGAUGAACUUCAUAUCUAGGAAUCACUUUGAUUAUAUUUUGCCUGAGGUUUAGCAUAUCUAUUUAUUUUUCAUCAGUAAAAAGUAACUAAUCCAGAAAAGUGCUUGUUGCAUAAUUUGUCUAGGCUCAUGCAACAUUGGUUUGUGGCAAAACUGGUGGUGGUGCUGCAGAGAAGUUCAAGUGUGAAAAUGAUGUUGACAUUUGCAUAGGCACUUUAAGUAAGGCUUCUGGUUGCCAUGGUGGAUUUAUAGCCUGCAGGUAAUUUUGCUAAUUGCCUGUUUGAAGGUAGUGGGCUUUUGUUUGGAAGGAAGGGGGUAAGAAGAAAUGAGAAUUCCACACACACUCUUUUUUCCAAGUUAAGCGGUCCCUAAUGGUUUUUCAAAGUUAAAUUCUGUUUAUGAGUUCUGUUUUGCUCUAUCCUGUUCUAGUGGUGCAAGUUGUUAUGCUUAAAUAUCUUUUACUGUUAAUUGCAUCAGUUUCUUAGAUUUGUUAAAAUCUCAGCUAACCGUUCGCUUUUGUUCAUUUUUAUUUAGUUUUUUGUUUGUUCAGAAACUGAUAAAUGGCAAGGAAAUUUUUUUUUUUUUCAUUUAAAGGUUUGUAAUAAGUAUGUUGUGUCUGGCUCUUGGAUAGAUUGCCUUCCAGUGACAAAUAAGAAAUUAAAAAUCAAACAUACAGAGAUGAAUUUACCAGUGAUUGUUUACACUAGUGGUGCAAUUAAUGUUUAAUAAUAUAUCAACAUUUUCCAUUUGAUGCUAAAUUAACAGCAAGAAAUGGAAGCAACUGAUACAGUCAAGGGGUCGCUCUUUCAUAUUUUCAACUUCUACUCCGGUACCAAUUGCUGCAGCAGCACACGGUAAGCUUAGUUUAUAGAAUUGGAGUGGGUUAGUCUAUCCAGUCCCUCACACUGUAGUAUUUCAAUUCAAGCACUUUUGCCUAUUGAUGGGGAUACCAGGUGCCACUUUAUGUGCCAUGAACUUCUAUAAAUUAAUGAGCUGUCAAUAGUGUAAAAAGACAUUGCGGGGCCAUAGUCGAAUUGAUUUCUAAAUGCAGUCGAUGUCUCAACUUCGCAUGACUAAGUUCAUGAAUUUAACGUGAAAGCUUUUAACUGAAGAGACGACUACAUAUUGUAACUCAGAAAGGAUAGCGAUUUUGUAAAUUGGGGCUUUAAUCUUUCUUUUCUUAGAUUCUUUAUUGAAUUUAACUUAUUCCCUUUGCAGCUGCUGUUAAUGUAGCAAAACAGGAGACAUGGCGUAGAAAGGCCAUUUGGAAUCGGGUACUAGAAUUCCGUGCCAUGACAAGAAUUCCCAUUACUAGUCCCAUUAUUUCCCUUAUUGUAGGGAGUGAAGUGAAGGCCUUGGAAGCUAGCCGGUAAUUCCCCUCUUUCCCCAAUCCCUCCCUCUCUUUAAAAGUUUCUGUGUCAUCAUUGCUCCUAACCAUGUGAAUUAUGAUGAAUAGGCAUCUUCUGAAAUCUGGUUUUCAUGUAACCGCUAUAAGGCCCCCAACAGUGCCUUCAAACUCAUGCAGGUUUGUCGGACGCUGGAAUCUUUUUGAUGAUCCGAACUUCUUUGCCAUUUAUAUGCUGUUGUCCAAACCACACAAUUCACUGUUGUACCCUGCGUCAAUGCAUUAUUUUUGUCAUCCAUUUUGGAAUGGUUCCUCCUGCGCUCACUAUAUGGUGAAGUUGCAAAACCAUUCUUGUUAGUUGUACCUUUAAGUGUCUUAGAUGCAGUAACUUGACAAUAAUUUGGUUUGUUCUGCAAAUUUUUCUUGUUUACUUUAGGCUUUCUGAUCAUAUCAAAAUUGCCUACCUUUUCUAGGUUAAGGAUAGCUCUGAGUGCUGUGCACACGCGGGAUGAUUUGAGAAAGCUCGUAACUGCAUUGUCUGAAUGCAUCAAUUUUGAGGAGAUAGGAUUCAACUGUAAAAAUUAUUCAUCCAAACUGUGAUCCUAUUUGUUCCUUUAUAUAAUUGCUUAAGGCAUCUUUUUACUGAUAAGAUUUGCAGCUUUAAGUUUUUUUAUUCCCUAGAUAUAACCAUCUAGAUUUUGGUAAAAUAGUCUGAAAUGAUCCACCAAUGCUCCUCCAUCCAUUUUCUUCCACUAUGUCAGCUGAAGUGGAUAAGGGAGAUUCAAUAUCUUCAGUUGGAGUAGAUGCAGUGUAUCCUUAUUGCAAGUACCAGGACGAGAACAAGUUAAAAAUGGACAAAAGAAGUUACACAUUGAGAGACUUGGUGAAAUAAGUACUAAUAAAUCACCAGCCAACCCUUGUUGCUCCAACAUGCAAUAUUACGUUCCCCCAGGAGAGGGAUCAAAUUUUCACAGUUUCAUUCACUACUGAAACUGAAAUCCUUAACUCUAGGACCUUGGAAAACAUCCUACUGCCCUCAAGCUCUUGGGCCCUAAAGAGCAAUACUAGCUUCCCGCUCAAUUCAGAAACAAAUGUAAAAUGAAAUUCAGUUUAAACUUCUAAUCACCCAAUUCAGCUCAACCCUGGCUGGACUGAUCAGAGGCAGAGUUAGCAGUUGCCAGAGCUAGCCAAUUCCCCAUUGCCUUCUCGGGGGACAAGCAUGAAGCUGAUGAAGAGCAGCACUUGGUUGGCUGCUUCUGGAGAUGUCCCGUUGUUUCACUUGCUGCAUUAUUACCACAGCCAACCCCACCAGUCAUCACUUCCCAAGGUCUACUUGUCUCCUUUUUACCUUCAUCGGGUAGCAACUGCAGGAUACAAUUGCAAAACACCCUCACUAAGCAUUUUAACGGAUAAACCAGGGCAUAAGUUUCAUGGCAUGGAUGGACUCAAAAAGAAAAAGAAGAAAAGAGAAAGGUGGAAACUUUAGUACCUGAGGCAUCAAAGUAGAAGUUGCAGCGGGACGUGGUAAAGAUGAAGGGAGGCCAGAUAAUACUUCGACAGAAUUAUAAGGAACAUCAUUUAGGUUGAUAGGAGUUGUUUUCUUGUUUGCAGUGGUGGUGGUUGUCACAGUGGAGGAGUCACUGUGAUCCCCAUGGUCAUUAGAUAAUGUGGAGACCGUGACUUUCACAGCACGUCUCUCGGCUAGAGGCUUCACUGGAGAAGUUGGUUGGUGGUGGUUGUUAGUGUUGGUGGUAUGGUAGUAAGGGAGCAAAGGGGGAGCCACGGCAGUGGAGGAAGAGACUGAAGGUGGAGUUGGGACCACUAAAAGAUCCUCAACCUGGACCACAACCCGAGGGGACACCAUAUUGUGGCUAGUAGUGCUACCGGUGGCGGUGUUGUUGCAGAUGUUGCGGGCCAUGUUUGGCCAAAGGAACGUCCCCUGGGGCUUGCAGAUCCUGAACCCACUCUUCAGCCUUUCGAUCUUUGCUGCUUUUUUCUCUGCCGUUGCUGCUUCCGCUGCCGCUGCAUUUUCUGCUUUAGCUGAACCCUCCAGCUCCCCAACAUUUACUACUACUUGUACUUCUUGCUCCUUCGUCCCUUUCUCCAAUUCCACGAUCUCUUUUCCAGCAGUACCAGACUCCUUUGACACAAUUAAUUCGGUGUUGGACCGUGCUUCUCCUUUAGCUUCCGGCAUGAGCUUCUUUAUUUCUUCCUGAAUUCCAUGUAUCCAAUCGAGUAUGUAUCAGUAUCAUACUUAACAACAGCAGCAUAUGCAACCAAGAUAUUUUUGUCAUCUAUGAAUAUUAGCACGUUACAACGAGUUACUCAACUAAUUAAGAACUAGACACUAAAUAGUACUGCAUGCAAUUAGAACUCGUUUAAUUGAGAGAGAACGUCUAAGCUGCAGAGGCUUAAAUCAGAUUUCUUGAAGCAUCAGAUAGCUGCUACCUCUAUUCCUCUUGCAAAAUCUUGAAUGACAAUUAAUUGAUCCUUGUACUUCUCCUGCCCCAAAAAAUCAAAGUAAUAUGGUCAAGCAAAGGUUUCUUCAACUUUAAGUACUUGAAUGAGACACUAAUAUGCUUUUUGUAAGUACUCAUAUACCAGUGAAACGGGUAGUUCGGAAAGAUGAGACUUUGAAGAAACCAAUGAAUUAGCAAGCUGAUCGAACUUUUCACUGAUGUCGCACUGAUUUGACGAAAAUCCAAUAGCUUGGUUUACCCCUUGCUUCUUGUUGGAGACAAGCUUGUCAAUCUCUCUGAUCAAGCAAGCAGACCAUAAACAUUAAAAGAGAAGCACUCAAAGAGAAGUUCAUUAGAGCCAUUAAUUUGCUAUUCCGGUGAAAGAUGUGAUCAUUAUUAGAAAGUUUAGACUUGACCUUCUUAGCUUUCCAACUUCCUCCUCCAGCUGCUUUCUGGGCGCCAUCUCCAGUGCAUUUCUGGUAAUACAGCAAUGUCCACCAAAGAAAAGGUUAAACAUUAAAACCCAACAAAAUUAAGACAUGCAACCGUAACUAGCUAUCAGUUUGUGCAAAUUAAUUAGUACGUAGUAUGUGGUAUCUAUUUUACCUUUUAAGAUGGGAAAUCUCUUCUUUCAAGAGCCUCAACUCCUUAGCGCAGAUAGGGUCCUGAGUGGGGCAGUCACCAGGCUUCCAUCCAGGUGGUGGGAUCCAAUAGGGAUCAUUCACACCAGCAUCCUGCCUUAUUUUGACAAGAUCAGCACUUUCUAACCAGUACUCCAUCGCACCAUCCGCAUUAUGCCGCCUCCUGAACCGUUCUUCUCCACCUGGUGCAAGCUUACCGGCCAUGUGCUUGAGGAGAUGAUCUAACAGCCCAGUGUCCCCAAUCUUCUUCCUUGCCUCUGCCCUCAGGUCGGGCCUGAGAAUUGGGUUACCAGCUGUGGCCCCCUUGGCUUUCAUAACCUCCAAAAGGUUCUUUGUUGCAAGUUGGUACCUUCAUACAUAGACGCAUGGAAAAUUAAAUUAAGGCAAAAAAAAAACCUAAAAGUCCAUUAAAUGCUGAUAGUUAUUGUUUUAAUGUCGACGAAUACAAGAAACACGGAGUAAACAUUUUUUAUGUUCUUACCUCUCAGCAGACCAUCUAUCUUUGGGGUUUUCCAUCACUAAGAGUUCCCGGCAUUUGUUUCUGCCCCUCCUGGCGUGAGUCUUCUUAAGCUUCUUCUUCUUCUCACGUUCAACUUUCUUUGCCUUCUGUCUGGUAGUACCAUUUCUCAGCUUGUACCUCUUUCUCUUGAGAUUUCUAUUCAUCUCUUGGGUCUCCUCUUCUGCCUCAGUUUCUUCGUUUGCAACAUCAACCACGUCGUCUUCCCUUUCAUCAUCAUCUCCAUCAUCUUCUUCCCUUUCUUCUUGUUCAUCCUUCUCGUCAUCUUCUUUGUUAUCAUCGUCAUCAUCACGAUCAUCAUCAUCAUCAUCAUCAUCAUUAACAUCGUUAUCAUCUUCAUCUUUAGCUUCUGCUGGUUUUCUAAUGACUUCAAUUGCCUUUUUACCACCUGUUCUAAAACUCGAAGGAGACCGAAGGUUGCCACUUAUGUUUUCGUUGUGCCUUUCCAGAAACUUGACCUGUCGUCGGGUUCCCCACCGAACCAUUCCCAUGCCCUUGAGCUCCGUCAAACAGUUGCCAUUCCUGUAACUAUUGUCCUCUUCAGAAACAUUGACUGCAGUAGCAUUCACCAACCAGAAUCCCUCCAAAUGCUUAUUCUCGGCAAACUCCUGAGAAGGGAUCUGCCGAAGGAGCACUUUGGCAGCAAGCGCUGUUCCCAUCUGCUUAGUUCUCUCAGUGUGGACUCGUAGUUCAUCUUCUGUGAUGAUUGCCAUACUGUCUGCUUAUCUGUUUAAUCCUUUUCCUUUGAAACUCCAUCAUUCUCUUGGUUAUUGUACCAACGACCGGUUACUAAUUUAGUAACAGAGUAACUAAUGUUUUAGAACUAGAGAUGGAGCUAUUCCUGGUGAUAAAGGGGCCUCCAAUCACCUUGUGGUUACGCUUCAAUCCUAUCUCUCAGUUGCCUGUUUUCUUUGCUAGCUUGUUCAGUAUGGA